AGGGUUAGGAAAUUGAGGCUGAACCCUUCCACCCCGAUGGUCAAAUGCCACCGGCCGACCGCCGGAGCGAAAGGGAGGUGCACUGGCCUUCCACCCCUGGAAUCUCCCUCCACCUUGAUUCCCAACUCCCGUCUGAUAUCCAUUCUGGCCUCGGCGACCAUACCGGGCCACUGUCCAUCCCUCAUCCAUCAUUUUGUUGUAGAUUUACGUAAUUUUUAUUUUUAUGAACUCUUUUUUUGUUUUUUUAUAUUUUUUAUUUUUGUAAUUUUUUUGUUGUUAUAGUAUAUAUUUUUGUAAUGUUUUUGUAUAUUUUGUUGUAUUUUUUCAGUUUUUAUUGUUUUUGUAUCCGUUUCUUAGUUUUCUGUCCUUGUCAUAAAGUUACUGAUUUUCCUGUCGCCUUUGCUAUAUAAUUAAUCAAUGUUCUAUUGUCUAGUCUAUAAAUUGUAUGUUCUACAAUGAACUAUCAGGUAUAGUAUUGAUAAUGUAUUGUAAAGAUGCCAAAAGAAUAUUUUUUUCAAAAAAAAUUUUUUUAAUAAAGAAAUAAAAAAUAAUAAAGAAACUAUCAAACAAAAGUUGUUUUCAUUCAAUUGUACUUGUAUUUAUCCAAUUAUAUGUUUGUGUGUGCCAACAACAACGUUUCGGCUUAUGUCAAGCCUUCUUCAGGUUUUAGCACACAAUUUCUAUGAUCCUACUGUUGUAGCAAGAGCUGUUACUCGUUCAAAAACAAACAUGAAAUGACCGGAUUUGGCUGGUUCCCUAUUUAUAGCCUCUGUCUCAGUGACUCCUCCUUCGUCUUUACCAGCGUAUUUAUUCCAAUGCCCUUCAUUCACCAGUCUUAUUCUUAUGUGCAAUUAGUGUAAAUAGUGUAUAUAUAUAUAUAUAUGUUUUUAAUUAAUUAAUUAAUUAAUUUAAUCCUGUAUAUAGUAUGUUAGUGAUUAUUAUUUAGUUUUUUAACUCUUUAAUUCUAGAAUUCCUUAAAUAAACAAAUGAAUAACUGAUCGAUUAUAGAAUUGAAAUUAGGGUUAAUUAGGGUUAAUUAGGGUUAAUUGAAAAUUAGGUUGAGUCAAUUUUAGUGUUAUCAUCAAUUAGGGUGGGAUCAAAUGGUUAAGGUUAGGGUAAGGUUAGAAUUAGGAUUAAUCCAAUUAGGGUUGAGUGUGAUUAGGAUUAAUUAAAAAUUAGGGUUAACAAAUGGUUAAGGUUAGGGUUAAAUCAAAGUUAGGGUUAGUAAAUCUAGGGUUGGGAUUAAUUUAACAUUGGGUAAACUAGGGUUACUUACAAUUAGGGUUAACCAAUCAAGGGUUAACUAAAAUUAGGGUUGGAUGAAAUGGUUAAGAUUAGGGUUAGAUUAGAAGUUGGAUCAAUUAAAUUAUGAUUAUAUUAAUUUAACAUUGGGUAAACUAGGGUUACUUACAAUUAGGGUUAACCAAUUAAGGGUUGACUGAAAUUAGGGUUGGAUGAAAUGGUUAAGAUUAGGGUUAGAUUAGAAAUUGGAGUCAUUGAAUUAUGGUUAAGUGGAAUUAGGGUAAAAUUAAAAUUAGGGUGGACAAAUGGUUAAGGUUAGGGUAAGGUUAAAAUUAGGAUUAAUCCAAUUAGGGUUGAGUGUGAUUAGGAUUAAUUAAAAAUUAGGGUUAACAAAUGGUUAAGGUUAGGGUUAAAUCAAAGUUAGGGUUAGUAAAUCUAGGGUUGGGAUUAGGUUAACAUUGGGUAAACUAGGGUUACUUACAGUUUGGUGAAAUGGUUAAGGUUAGGGUUAAAUUAGAAUUUGGAUUAGUUGAAUUAGGGUUAAAUGGAAUCAGGGUAUAAUUAAAAUUUAAAUUAGGGUGAAGAUUAGAGUUAAAUUAGAAUUAGGAUUAUUUAGGGUUAACUGAAUUUAGGUUGGGAUCAAAUGGUUAGGUUAAAUAAGCAGUAAUAUGCAUGUGUAUCUAAAUAAAUUUUCUAAUCCUAAAAAAUGUUUUUGUAAUUUUCUUCUGUCAAUUGUCCCUCAUAAUUUCAACCCAUCUUUUUAUUUAACCCAUAUGGUUGUUUUGUCGCUAAUUUAUGUAUCCAUUGUCUUUCUCUACAUUUUCUUUCUAAAUCUGUCCAAUUAAAGUUUUUUUGUAAUCCAGCCAUUCGUAAUGACUCUAAUCCAUGUAUUAGGAAAUGCUGUACCAGGGGUGUGUCCAUUUCUUUUUUAUUUUUAAUAUUAUACCUAUGCUGUGUAAUUCGUGCUGAUAACGAAUUCUUUGUUUCCCCUACAUAUUUAAUCCCACAUUUAUUACAAAUUAUUAAAUAAAUACAAUUUGUGGACCUCGCAGUAAAUGUUUGUUCAAUUUUUAUGAUAGUUUUCUCCACUGUGUUUUUGAUAAAUUUUAGUUUCAACAAUUGUUUAUCUAGUAAUAAUUGUUUUUGUGUUAAUAGUGAUGGUAAUUUGGCUCUGACUAACAAAUCUUUCAAAUUCUUAUUCCUCCUAUAUGCCGAGAUUAUGUUAAAUUUUGGGAUUCCUGUAGUCGUUUCCGAAAUUUCCUGCAAAUUUCGUUUUAUUUUAUUGUGUAGUACCUUGCCUACUGUACAGAAAUUUGUAAUGAGAGGAAUAACAUUUUCUUUCGUUUGUUUUUUGUUGAGAAAUGUUUUCAGAUGAUUUCUUAAAUAUGAUCUCGAAUACCCUCUUUUUCGUAGGGUAUCAAAUAAGAUCUUCACCGCUUCCCUAAAAUCCUCCUCCCUCGUGCAGAUUCGGUGAAAGCGCAGAAUCUGGGAUUUUACAAUUCCUUUAAAAGUAUGAUUUGGAUGGAAGCUAAAUUUAUGCAAUAAUGCGUGAGUAUCUGUUGCCUUGAAAUACACUUUAAUAUCCAAUCGAUGAUUUUCCUGAAAAUUGGGUCCCUUAAAUAUUGUAGUAUCUAAAAAGUCAAUAGAAUUUUGCUUAAUUUCUGCUUUAAGUUUAAUUGAUGGAUCCUGUGAAUUUAGUGUUUCCUUGAAAUUUUCAAAUUCUUGUUUAGUCCCUAUCCAUAAUCCCCAAAUGUCGUCCAAAUACCGUAGAUAACUAGCCGGUUUCUUUUCACAUUUGGCCAGUGCUUUUUCUUCCCAGUUGGCCAUAAAAAUAUUGGCAUAUGCUGGAGCAAAUUUUUUACCCAUUGCUGUUCCCUUAAUUUGCAAAUAAUAUUUUUCAUUGAAUACAAAGUCAUUUCUAGUUAAAUUAAUUUCUAAUAAUUGUAAUAAUUCAUCAUCUGGUCUGUUUGGAUCUGGGUAUUUCUGGAAAAUUUGUUUUACACAUUCAAUUCCUGCCGGAAUAGGAAUAUUUGUAUAUAAACUGUUAACAUCCAUCGAAAAAAACCAAAAGUCCGAGGUUAUUGUAACGUCUUUUACCAUCUCUAUAAAAUGGUAUGUGUCUCUCACAUAGGAUGGAUGUUUGAUCGAAAGUGGAUUUAGAUAAUGAUCCAAAUAUUCUGCGGUGAAAUAUGUAUCACUCCCACAGUCUGAUACUAUGGGUCUCCCUGGGGGAAUUUCAAAUGGAAUUGUCCAUUUCUCCGGACUUUUAUGAAUUUUUGGGAGAAUAUAAAAUCUCCUCUCUCUUGGUUCUGAGGUUCCAAGUAGGUACUGUUUUUGUUUUCCAUUGAUAAAUUUUUUCUUUUUUAGAUUGUUUAUAAUUUCCUUUAUUUUUGGUAGUGUUUCUCUAUAAAUGGGUUUUUCCAAUUUUUUGUAAUAUUCUGUGUCAUUCAAUUGUCUUUCUACUUCCAUUAUAUAUUGUUCUCUACUUAGAAUCACUACUGACGAGCCUUUAUCAGCCGGUUUAAUGACUAUAUGUUUUGUAUGCAUUAAUUCUCGUAAGGCUUUUACUUCUUCUACAGACAUAUUGUAUUUUUCAGUAGUCGGUAAGUAGUGUUUUUUUAUUGUCUGCCAAUCUUUUUGUAUUAAUUGUCCCACUUCUGGUGGUAAUUUAUCCAUAGGUGGUUUCCAAUCAGAAGAGCCUGUAAAUGGUGGUCUCUCCUUACCCAUCGAAUCCUUAAAGACUUAGAGGCUGACCAAGUUUAAAGUCUUCCCCCAGUGGUCAAGCAUAGCGGUCGCCGUUUCUUUUGUCCAGUGGAUUCCAUCCUCCUCCACCUGGAAUUGGUCCUCAGGUAAGAGAGGAAGAUCUUCUGGUGGUACCGUUUUCUCCAUCAGUUGGGAUUGUGGUGGUAUGAUGCGAGUGGAGGACUCCGGGAGAACCUCCUCCUCUUCUACCUCUUCAUCUGCCCGCCAUUGGUUCAAUACCUGGGUAUUGUUUCGUCAACAGGUUCCAUUUGAGGUCUCACAAUGAGAUCCUCUUCCACGCCACCUUGGAGCCAGGAUUCUACCCUAGCCUUUCGUGAGGUCCUCGGCGUCUCUAUAAAUUUUUCCAUUGGAGAUCGAUGCACUAAAGCUCCAUCUGUGAUCUCUGGUAGCCUCAGUGUCAUGAUAUCGUCAUCGUCUGAUGUUCCCAUGAGUGUCAUUUCAGGUCUCUCCAAUAUGCUAACCUCCUGAGGAGAUUCAGUUCCGAUCGGUGUCGUGUUUUGAAUCGGCCCAGUGGGGACCAUGGGCGUCGGCUGUGAUUCUGGCACAUUCUGGAUCACUGGUGCAAUAUUCUGGAUCACCGGUGCAAUAUUUUGUAUAGCCUGCUCUACGGGUGGGCUCCGGGGAUGAAUUUUUUCUUUAAUCAAAUUCUCCGUUUGAUCAAUCACCUGUUGUUUCACAUGUGGUAAUUUAUUCUUGGCCCAUCUGAUUGCCACCGUGUAGGCCUUUUUCCAGUCCGGGGUAAUAAAAUCCACAAUUUCAUUGAGCCAUUCCUCCAGGCAAGCCUGGUAGUGUUGAAAUAAUAUCAAACAUGUGGUAUAGCCCCAAUUUUUUGCGUUUCCCAUGAUGAGGUCCAUUGUUUGGCCUUUGGGGAAUGCCGGGUUAAUCAUCCCCAUUAAUACCUCGACCAUUCUUUCGAUCAUCUUGGGUUGUGGUUUCCCCCCUGUUGGGUCCACAUUCUGUAAGUGGUGUACCACUUUCAGAAUAUUAUACAAUUUUUGGACCAGCCUUUUAAACCUGGGGUCAGCCGGUUGUAGCCCUCUUUCAAAUCCCCCAUUCCUUUGGGGAGGUCUCCUUGGGUCUGGUCCCAUCCAACCACGGCUCACUGCGGCCGCAUAUGAAUAAGGACGGGAAUCCGGUUUACGGAAAGACCAUGGGGGAGGCACUGGCGGGUUAGGAAAUUGAGGCUGAACCCUUCCACCCCGAUGGUCAAAUGCCACCGGCCGACCGCCGGAGCGAAAGGGAGGUGCACUGGCCUUCCACCCCUGGAAUCUCCCUCCACCUUGAUUCCCAACUCCCGUCUGAUAUCCAUUCUGGCCUCGGCGACCAUACCGGGCCACUGUCCAUCCCUCAUCCAUCAUUUUGUUGUAGAUUUACGUAAUUUUUAUUUUUAUGAACUCUUUUUUUGUUUUUUUAUAUUUUUUAUUUUUGUAAUUUUUUUGUUGUUAUAGUAUAUAUUUUUGUAAUGUUUUUGUAUAUUUUGUUGUAUUUUUUCAGUUUUUAUUGUUUUUGUAUCCGUUUCUUAGUUUUCUGUCCUUGUCAUAAAGUUACUGAUUUUCCUGUCGCCUUUGCUAUAUAAUUAAUCAAUGUUCUAUUGUCUAGUCUAUAAAUUGUAUGUUCUACAAUGAACUAUCAGGUAUAGUAUUGAUAAUGUAUUGUAAAGAUGCCAAAAGAAUAUUUUUUUCAAAAAAAAUUUUUUUAAUAAAGAAAUAAAAAAUAAUAAAGAAACUAUCAAACAAAAGUUGUUUUCAUUCAAUUGUACUUGUAUUUAUCCAAUUAUAUGUUUGUGUGUGCCAACAACAACGUUUCGGCUUAUGUCAAGCCUUCUUCAGGUUUUAGCACACAAUUUCUAUGAUCCUACUGUUGUAGCAAGAGCUGUUACUCGUUCAAAAACAAACAUGAAAUGACCGGAUUUGGCUGGUUCCCUAUUUAUAGCCUCUGUCUCAGUGACUCCUCCUUCGUCUUUACCAGCGUAUUUAUUCCAAUGCCCUUCAUUCACCAGUCUUAUUCUUAUGUGCAAUUAGUGUAAAUAGUGUAUAUAUAUAUAUAUAUGUUUUUAAUUAAUUAAUUAAUUAAUUUAAUCCUGUAUAUAGUAUGUUAGUGAUUAUUAUUUAGUUUUUUAACUCUUUAAUUCUAGAAUUCCUUAAAUAAACAAAUGAAUAACUGAUCGAUUAUAGAAUUGAAAUUAGGGUUAAUUAGGGUUAAUUGAAAAUUAGGUUGAGUCAAUUUUAGUGUUAUCAUCAAUUAGGGUGGGAUCAAAUGGUUAAGGUUAGGGUAAGGUUAGAAUUAGGAUUAAUCCAAUUAGGGUUGAGUGUGAUUAGGAUUAAUUAAAAAUUAGGGUUAACAAAUGGUUAAGGUUAGGGUUAAAUCAAAGUUAGGGUUAGUAAAUCUAGGGUUGGGAUUAAUUUAACAUUGGGUAAACUAGGGUUACUUACAAUUAGGGUUAACCAAUCAAGGGUUAACUAAAAUUAGGGUUGGAUGAAAUGGUUAAGAUUAGGGUUAGAUUAGAAGUUGGAUCAAUUAAAUUAUGAUUAUAUUAAUUUAACAUUGGGUAAACUAGGGUUACUUACAAUUAGGGUUAACCAAUUAAGGGUUGACUGAAAUUAGGGUUGGAUGAAAUGGUUAAGAUUAGGGUUAGAUUAGAAAUUGGAGUCAUUGAAUUAUGGUUAAGUGGAAUUAGGGUAAAAUUAAAAUUAGGGUGGACAAAUGGUUAAGGUUAGGGUAAGGUUAAAAUUAGGAUUAAUCCAAUUAGGGUUGAGUGUGAUUAGGAUUAAUUAAAAAUUAGGGUUAACAAAUGGUUAAGGUUAGGGUUAAAUCAAAGUUAGGGUUAGUAAAUCUAGGGUUGGGAUUAGGUUAACAUUGGGUAAACUAGGGUUACUUACAGUUUGGUGAAAUGGUUAAGGUUAGGGUUAAAUUAGAAUUUGGAUUAGUUGAAUUAGGGUUAAAUGGAAUCAGGGUAUAAUUAAAAUUUAAAUUAGGGUGAAGAUUAGAGUUAAAUUAGAAUUAGGAUUAUUUAGGGUUAACUGAAUUUAGGUUGGGAUCAAAUGGUUAGGUUAAAUAAGCAGUAAUAUGCAUGUGUAUCUAAAUAAAUUUUCUAAUCCUAAAAAAUGUUUUUGUAAUUUUCUUCUGUCAAUUGUCCCUCAUAAUUUCAACCCAUCUUUUUAUUUAACCCAUAUGGUUGUUUUGUCGCUAAUUUAUGUAUCCAUUGUCUUUCUCUACAUUUUCUUUCUAAAUCUGUCCAAUUAAAGUUUUUUUGUAAUCCAGCCAUUCGUAAUGACUCUAAUCCAUGUAUUAGGAAAUGCUGUACCAGGGGUGUGUCCAUUUCUUUUUUAUUUUUAAUAUUAUACCUAUGCUGUGUAAUUCGUGCUGAUAACGAAUUCUUUGUUUCCCCUACAUAUUUAAUCCCACAUUUAUUACAAAUUAUUAAAUAAAUACAAUUUGUGGACCUCGCAGUAAAUGUUUGUUCAAUUUUUAUGAUAGUUUUCUCCACUGUGUUUUUGAUAAAUUUUAGUUUCAACAAUUGUUUAUCUAGUAAUAAUUGUUUUUGUGUUAAUAGUGAUGGUAAUUUGGCUCUGACUAACAAAUCUUUCAAAUUCUUAUUCCUCCUAUAUGCCGAGAUUAUGUUAAAUUUUGGGAUUCCUGUAGUCGUUUCCGAAAUUUCCUGCAAAUUUCGUUUUAUUUUAUUGUGUAGUACCUUGCCUACUGUACAGAAAUUUGUAAUGAGAGGAAUAACAUUUUCUUUCGUUUGUUUUUUGUUGAGAAAUGUUUUCAGAUGAUUUCUUAAAUAUGAUCUCGAAUACCCUCUUUUUCGUAGGGUAUCAAAUAAGAUCUUCACCGCUUCCCUAAAAUCCUCCUCCCUCGUGCAGAUUCGGUGAAAGCGCAGAAUCUGGGAUUUUACAAUUCCUUUAAAAGUAUGAUUUGGAUGGAAGCUAAAUUUAUGCAAUAAUGCGUGAGUAUCUGUUGCCUUGAAAUACACUUUAAUAUCCAAUCGAUGAUUUUCCUGAAAAUUGGGUCCCUUAAAUAUUGUAGUAUCUAAAAAGUCAAUAGAAUUUUGCUUAAUUUCUGCUUUAAGUUUAAUUGAUGGAUCCUGUGAAUUUAGUGUUUCCUUGAAAUUUUCAAAUUCUUGUUUAGUCCCUAUCCAUAAUCCCCAAAUGUCGUCCAAAUACCGUAGAUAACUAGCCGGUUUCUUUUCACAUUUGGCCAGUGCUUUUUCUUCCCAGUUGGCCAUAAAAAUAUUGGCAUAUGCUGGAGCAAAUUUUUUACCCAUUGCUGUUCCCUUAAUUUGCAAAUAAUAUUUUUCAUUGAAUACAAAGUCAUUUCUAGUUAAAUUAAUUUCUAAUAAUUGUAAUAAUUCAUCAUCUGGUCUGUUUGGAUCUGGGUAUUUCUGGAAAAUUUGUUUUACACAUUCAAUUCCUGCCGGAAUAGGAAUAUUUGUAUAUAAACUGUUAACAUCCAUCGAAAAAAACCAAAAGUCCGAGGUUAUUGUAACGUCUUUUACCAUCUCUAUAAAAUGGUAUGUGUCUCUCACAUAGGAUGGAUGUUUGAUCGAAAGUGGAUUUAGAUAAUGAUCCAAAUAUUCUGCGGUGAAAUAUGUAUCACUCCCACAGUCUGAUACUAUGGGUCUCCCUGGGGGAAUUUCAAAUGGAAUUGUCCAUUUCUCCGGACUUUUAUGAAUUUUUGGGAGAAUAUAAAAUCUCCUCUCUCUUGGUUCUGAGGUUCCAAGUAGGUACUGUUUUUGUUUUCCAUUGAUAAAUUUUUUCUUUUUUAGAUUGUUUAUAAUUUCCUUUAUUUUUGGUAGUGUUUCUCUAUAAAUGGGUUUUUCCAAUUUUUUGUAAUAUUCUGUGUCAUUCAAUUGUCUUUCUACUUCCAUUAUAUAUUGUUCUCUACUUAGAAUCACUACUGACGAGCCUUUAUCAGCCGGUUUAAUGACUAUAUGUUUUGUAUGCAUUAAUUCUCGUAAGGCUUUUACUUCUUCUACAGACAUAUUGUAUUUUUCAGUAGUCGGUAAGUAGUGUUUUUUUAUUGUCUGCCAAUCUUUUUGUAUUAAUUGUCCCACUUCUGGUGGUAAUUUAUCCAUAGGUGGUUUCCAAUCAGAAGAGCCUGUAAAUGGUGGUCUCUCCUUACCCAUCGAAUCCUUAAAGACUUAGAGGCUGACCAAGUUUAAAGUCUUCCCCCAGUGGUCAAGCAUAGCGGUCGCCGUUUCUUUUGUCCAGUGGAUUCCAUCCUCCUCCACCUGGAAUUGGUCCUCAGAUCUUCUGGUGGUACCGUUUUCUCCAUCAGUUGGGAUUGUGGUGGUAUGAUGCGAGUGGAGGACUCCGGGAGAACCUCCUCCUCUUCUACCUCUUCAUCUGCCCGCCAUUGGUUCAAUACCUGGGUAUUGUUUCGUCAACAGGUUCCAUUUGAGGUCUCACAAUGAGAUCCUCUUCCACGCCACCUUGGAGCCAGGAUUCUACCCUAGCCUUUCGUGAGGUCCUCGGCGUCUCUAUAAAUUUUUCCAUUGGAGAUCGAUGCACUAAAGCUCCAUCUGUGAUCUCUGGUAGCCUCAGUGUCAUGAUAUCGUCAUCGUCUGAUGUUCCCAUGAGUGUCAUUUCAGGUCUCUCCAAUAUGCUAACCUCCUGAGGAGAUUCAGUUCCGAUCGGUGUCGUGUUUUGAAUCGGCCCAGUGGGGACCAUGGGCGUCGGCUGUGAUUCUGGCACAUUCUGGAUCACUGGUGCAAUAUUCUGGAUCACCGGUGCAAUAUUUUGUAUAGCCUGCUCUACGGGUGGGCUCCGGGGAUGAAUUUUUUCUUUAAUCAAAUUCUCCGUUUGAUCAAUCACCUGUUGUUUCACAUGUGGUAAUUUAUUCUUGGCCCAUCUGAUUGCCACCGUGUAGGCCUUUUUCCAGUCCGGGGUAAUAAAAUCCACAAUUUCAUUGAGCCAUUCCUCCAGGCAAGCCUGGUAGUGUUGAAAUAAUAUCAAACAUGUGGUAUAGCCCCAAUUUUUUGCGUUUCCCAUGAUGAGGUCCAUUGUUUGGCCUUUGGGGAAUGCCGGGUUAAUCAUCCCCAUUAAUACCUCGACCAUUCUUUCGAUCAUCUUGGGUUGUGGUUUCCCCCCUGUUGGGUCCACAUUCUGUAAGUGGUGUACCACUUUCAGAAUAUUAUACAAUUUUUGGACCAGCCUUUUAAACCUGGGGUCAGCCGGUUGUAGCCCUCUUUCAAAUCCCCCAUUCCUUUGGGGAGGUCUCCUUGGGUCUGGUCCCAUCCAACCACGGCUCACUGCGGCCGCAUAUGAAUAAGGACGGGAAUCCGGUUUACGGAAAGACCAUGGGGGAGGCACUGGCGGGUUAGGAAAUUGAGGCUGAACCCUUCCACCCCGAUGGUCAAAUGCCACCGGCCGACCGCCGGAGCGAAAGGGAGGUGCACUGGCCUUCCACCCCUGGAAUCUCCCUCCACCUUGAUUCCCAACUCCCGUCUGAUAUCCAUUCUGGCCUCGGCGACCAUACCGGGCCACUGUCCAUCCCUCAUCCAUCAUUUUGUUGUAGAUUUACGUAAUUUUUAUUUUUAUGAACUCUUUUUUUGUUUUUUUAUAUUUUUUAUUUUUGUAAUUUUUUUGUUGUUAUAGUAUAUAUUUUUGUAAUGUUUUUGUAUAUUUUGUUGUAUUUUUUCAGUUUUUAUUGUUUUUGUAUCCGUUUCUUAGUUUUCUGUCCUUGUCAUAAAGUUACUGAUUUUCCUGUCGCCUUUGCUAUAUAAUUAAUCAAUGUUCUAUUGUCUAGUCUAUAAAUUGUAUGUUCUACAAUGAACUAUCAGGUAUAGUAUUGAUAAUGUAUUGUAAAGAUGCCAAAAGAAUAUUUUUUUCAAAAAAAAUUUUUUUAAUAAAGAAAUAAAAAAUAAUAAAGAAACUAUCAAACAAAAGUUGUUUUCAUUCAAUUGUACUUGUAUUUAUCCAAUUAUAUGUUUGUGUGUGCCAACAACAACGUUUCGGCUUAUGUCAAGCCUUCUUCAGGUUUUAGCACACAAUUUCUAUGAUCCUACUGUUGUAGCAAGAGCUGUUACUCGUUCAAAAACAAACAUGAAAUGACCGGAUUUGGCUGGUUCCCUAUUUAUAGCCUCUGUCUCAGUGACUCCUCCUUCGUCUUUACCAGCGUAUUUAUUCCAAUGCCCUUCAUUCACCAGUCUUAUUCUUAUGUGCAAUUAGUGUAAAUAGUGUAUAUAUAUAUAUAUAUGUUUUUAAUUAAUUAAUUAAUUAAUUUAAUCCUGUAUAUAGUAUGUUAGUGAUUAUUAUUUAGUUUUUUAACUCUUUAAUUCUAGAAUUCCUUAAAUAAACAAAUGAAUAACUGAUCGAUUAUAGAAUUGAAAUUAGGGUUAAUUAGGGUUAAUUAGGGUUAAUUGAAAAUUAGGUUGAGUCAAUUUUAGUGUUAUCAUCAAUUAGGGUGGGAUCAAAUGGUUAAGGUUAGGGUAAGGUUAGAAUUAGGAUUAAUCCAAUUAGGGUUGAGUGUGAUUAGGAUUAAUUAAAAAUUAGGGUUAACAAAUGGUUAAGGUUAGGGUUAAAUCAAAGUUAGGGUUAGUAAAUCUAGGGUUGGGAUUAAUUUAACAUUGGGUAAACUAGGGUUACUUACAAUUAGGGUUAACCAAUCAAGGGUUAACUAAAAUUAGGGUUGGAUGAAAUGGUUAAGAUUAGGGUUAGAUUAGAAGUUGGAUCAAUUAAAUUAUGAUUAUAUUAAUUUAACAUUGGGUAAACUAGGGUUACUUACAAUUAGGGUUAACCAAUUAAGGGUUGACUGAAAUUAGGGUUGGAUGAAAUGGUUAAGAUUAGGGUUAGAUUAGAAAUUGGAGUCAUUGAAUUAUGGUUAAGUGGAAUUAGGGUAAAAUUAAAAUUAGGGUGGACAAAUGGUUAAGGUUAGGGUAAGGUUAAAAUUAGGAUUAAUCCAAUUAGGGUUGAGUGUGAUUAGGAUUAAUUAAAAAUUAGGGUUAACAAAUGGUUAAGGUUAGGGUUAAAUCAAAGUUAGGGUUAGUAAAUCUAGGGUUGGGAUUAGGUUAACAUUGGGUAAACUAGGGUUACUUACAGUUUGGUGAAAUGGUUAAGGUUAGGGUUAAAUUAGAAUUUGGAUUAGUUGAAUUAGGGUUAAAUGGAAUCAGGGUAUAAUUAAAAUUUAAAUUAGGGUGAAGAUUAGAGUUAAAUUAGAAUUAGGAUUAUUUAGGGUUAACUGAAUUUAGGUUGGGAUCAAAUGGUUAGGUUAAAUAAGCAGUAAUAUGCAUGUGUAUCUAAAUAAAUUUUCUAAUCCUAAAAAAUGUUUUUGUAAUUUUCUUCUGUCAAUUGUCCCUCAUAAUUUCAACCCAUCUUUUUAUUUAACCCAUAUGGUUGUUUUGUCGCUAAUUUAUGUAUCCAUUGUCUUUCUCUACAUUUUCUUUCUAAAUCUGUCCAAUUAAAGUUUUUUUGUAAUCCAGCCAUUCGUAAUGACUCUAAUCCAUGUAUUAGGAAAUGCUGUACCAGGGGUGUGUCCAUUUCUUUUUUAUUUUUAAUAUUAUACCUAUGCUGUGUAAUUCGUGCUGAUAACGAAUUCUUUGUUUCCCCUACAUAUUUAAUCCCACAUUUAUUACAAAUUAUUAAAUAAAUACAAUUUGUGGACCUCGCAGUAAAUGUUUGUUCAAUUUUUAUGAUAGUUUUCUCCACUGUGUUUUUGAUAAAUUUUAGUUUCAACAAUUGUUUAUCUAGUAAUAAUUGUUUUUGUGUUAAUAGUGAUGGUAAUUUGGCUCUGACUAACAAAUCUUUCAAAUUCUUAUUCCUCCUAUAUGCCGAGAUUAUGUUAAAUUUUGGGAUUCCUGUAGUCGUUUCCGAAAUUUCCUGCAAAUUUCGUUUUAUUUUAUUGUGUAGUACCUUGCCUACUGUACAGAAAUUUGUAAUGAGAGGAAUAACAUUUUCUUUCGUUUGUUUUUUGUUGAGAAAUGUUUUCAGAUGAUUUCUUAAAUAUGAUCUCGAAUACCCUCUUUUUCGUAGGGUAUCAAAUAAGAUCUUCACCGCUUCCCUAAAAUCCUCCUCCCUCGUGCAGAUUCGGUGAAAGCGCAGAAUCUGGGAUUUUACAAUUCCUUUAAAAGUAUGAUUUGGAUGGAAGCUAAAUUUAUGCAAUAAUGCGUGAGUAUCUGUUGCCUUGAAAUACACUUUAAUAUCCAAUCGAUGAUUUUCCUGAAAAUUGGGUCCCUUAAAUAUUGUAGUAUCUAAAAAGUCAAUAGAAUUUUGCUUAAUUUCUGCUUUAAGUUUAAUUGAUGGAUCCUGUGAAUUUAGUGUUUCCUUGAAAUUUUCAAAUUCUUGUUUAGUCCCUAUCCAUAAUCCCCAAAUGUCGUCCAAAUACCGUAGAUAACUAGCCGGUUUCUUUUCACAUUUGGCCAGUGCUUUUUCUUCCCAGUUGGCCAUAAAAAUAUUGGCAUAUGCUGGAGCAAAUUUUUUACCCAUUGCUGUUCCCUUAAUUUGCAAAUAAUAUUUUUCAUUGAAUACAAAGUCAUUUCUAGUUAAAUUAAUUUCUAAUAAUUGUAAUAAUUCAUCAUCUGGUCUGUUUGGAUCUGGGUAUUUCUGGAAAAUUUGUUUUACACAUUCAAUUCCUGCCGGAAUAGGAAUAUUUGUAUAUAAACUGUUAACAUCCAUCGAAAAAAACCAAAAGUCCGAGGUUAUUGUAACGUCUUUUACCAUCUCUAUAAAAUGGUAUGUGUCUCUCACAUAGGAUGGAUGUUUGAUCGAAAGUGGAUUUAGAUAAUGAUCCAAAUAUUCUGCGGUGAAAUAUGUAUCACUCCCACAGUCUGAUACUAUGGGUCUCCCUGGGGGAAUUUCAAAUGGAAUUGUCCAUUUCUCCGGACUUUUAUGAAUUUUUGGGAGAAUAUAAAAUCUCCUCUCUCUUGGUUCUGAGGUUCCAAGUAGGUACUGUUUUUGUUUUCCAUUGAUAAAUUUUUUCUUUUUUAGAUUGUUUAUAAUUUCCUUUAUUUUUGGUAGUGUUUCUCUAUAAAUGGGUUUUUCCAAUUUUUUGUAAUAUUCUGUGUCAUUCAAUUGUCUUUCUACUUCCAUUAUAUAUUGUUCUCUACUUAGAAUCACUACUGACGAGCCUUUAUCAGCCGGUUUAAUGACUAUAUGUUUUGUAUGCAUUAAUUCUCGUAAGGCUUUUACUUCUUCUACAGACAUAUUGUAUUUUUCAGUAGUCGGUAAGUAGUGUUUUUUUAUUGUCUGCCAAUCUUUUUGUAUUAAUUGUCCCACUUCUGGUGGUAAUUUAUCCAUAGGUGGUUUCCAAUCAGAAGAGCCUGUAAAUGGUGGUCUCUCCUUACCCAUCGAAUCCUUAAAGACUUAGAGGCUGACCAAGUUUAAAGUCUUCCCCCAGUGGUCAAGCAUAGCGGUCGCCGUUUCUUUUGUCCAGUGGAUUCCAUCCUCCUCCACCUGGAAUUGGUCCUCAGAUCUUCUGGUGGUACCGUUUUCUCCAUCAGUUGGGAUUGUGGUGGUAUGAUGCGAGUGGAGGACUCCGGGAGAACCUCCUCCUCUUCUACCUCUUCAUCUGCCCGCCAUUGGUUCAAUACCUGGGUAUUGUUUCGUCAACAGGUUCCAUUUGAGGUCUCACAAUGAGAUCCUCUUCCACGCCACCUUGGAGCCAGGAUUCUACCCUAGCCUUUCGUGAGGUCCUCGGCGUCUCUAUAAAUUUUUCCAUUGGAGAUCGAUGCACUAAAGCUCCAUCUGUGAUCUCUGGUAGCCUCAGUGUCAUGAUAUCGUCAUCGUCUGAUGUUCCCAUGAGUGUCAUUUCAGGUCUCUCCAAUAUGCUAACCUCCUGAGGAGAUUCAGUUCCGAUCGGUGUCGUGUUUUGAAUCGGCCCAGUGGGGACCAUGGGCGUCGGCUGUGAUUCUGGCACAUUCUGGAUCACUGGUGCAAUAUUCUGGAUCACCGGUGCAAUAUUUUGUAUAGCCUGCUCUACGGGUGGGCUCCGGGGAUGAAUUUUUUCUUUAAUCAAAUUCUCCGUUUGAUCAAUCACCUGUUGUUUCACAUGUGGUAAUUUAUUCUUGGCCCAUCUGAUUGCCACCGUGUAGGCCUUUUUCCAGUCCGGGGUAAUAAAAUCCACAAUUUCAUUGAGCCAUUCCUCCAGGCAAGCCUGGUAGUGUUGAAAUAAUAUCAAACAUGUGGUAUAGCCCCAAUUUUUUGCGUUUCCCAUGAUGAGGUCCAUUGUUUGGCCUUUGGGGAAUGCCGGGUUAAUCAUCCCCAUUAAUACCUCGACCAUUCUUUCGAUCAUCUUGGGUUGUGGUUUCCCCCCUGUUGGGUCCACAUUCUGUAAGUGGUGUACCACUUUCAGAAUAUUAUACAAUUUUUGGACCAGCCUUUUAAACCUGGGGUCAGCCGGUUGUAGCCCUCUUUCAAAUCCCCCAUUCCUUUGGGGAGGUCUCCUUGGGUCUGGUCCCAUCCAACCACGGCUCACUGCGGCCGCAUAUGAAUAAGGACGGGAAUCCGGUUUACGGAAAGACCAUGGGGGAGGCACUGGCGGGUUAGGAAAUUGAGGCUGAACCCUUCCACCCCGAUGGUCAAAUGCCACCGGCCGACCGCCGGAGCGAAAGGGAGGUGCACUGGCCUUCCACCCCUGGAAUCUCCCUCCACCUUGAUUCCCAACUCCCGUCUGAUAUCCAUUCUGGCCUCGGCGACCAUACCGGGCCACUGUCCAUCCCUCAUCCAUCAUUUUGUUGUAGAUUUACGUAAUUUUUAUUUUUAUGAACUCUUUUUUUGUUUUUUUAUAUUUUUUAUUUUUGUAAUUUUUUUGUUGUUAUAGUAUAUAUUUUUGUAAUGUUUUUGUAUAUUUUGUUGUAUUUUUUCAGUUUUUAUUGUUUUUGUAUCCGUUUCUUAGUUUUCUGUCCUUGUCAUAAAGUUACUGAUUUUCCUGUCGCCUUUGCUAUAUAAUUAAUCAAUGUUCUAUUGUCUAGUCUAUAAAUUGUAUGUUCUACAAUGAACUAUCAGGUAUAGUAUUGAUAAUGUAUUGUAAAGAUGCCAAAAGAAUAUUUUUUUCAAAAAAAAUUUUUUUAAUAAAGAAAUAAAAAAUAAUAAAGAAACUAUCAAACAAAAGUUGUUUUCAUUCAAUUGUACUUGUAUUUAUCCAAUUAUAUGUUUGUGUGUGCCAACAACAACGUUUCGGCUUAUGUCAAGCCUUCUUCAGGUUUUAGCACACAAUUUCUAUGAUCCUACUGUUGUAGCAAGAGCUGUUACUCGUUCAAAAACAAACAUGAAAUGACCGGAUUUGGCUGGUUCCCUAUUUAUAGCCUCUGUCUCAGUGACUCCUCCUUCGUCUUUACCAGCGUAUUUAUUCCAAUGCCCUUCAUUCACCAGUCUUAUUCUUAUGUGCAAUUAGUGUAAAUAGUGUAUAUAUAUAUAUAUAUGUUUUUAAUUAAUUAAUUAAUUAAUUUAAUCCUGUAUAUAGUAUGUUAGUGAUUAUUAUUUAGUUUUUUAACUCUUUAAUUCUAGAAUUCCUUAAAUAAACAAAUGAAUAACUGAUCGAUUAUAGAAUUGAAAUUAGGGUUAAUUAGGGUUAAUUAGGGUUAAUUGAAAAUUAGGUUGAGUCAAUUUUAGUGUUAUCAUCAAUUAGGGUGGGAUCAAAUGGUUAAGGUUAGGGUAAGGUUAGAAUUAGGAUUAAUCCAAUUAGGGUUGAGUGUGAUUAGGAUUAAUUAAAAAUUAGGGUUAACAAAUGGUUAAGGUUAGGGUUAAAUCAAAGUUAGGGUUAGUAAAUCUAGGGUUGGGAUUAAUUUAACAUUGGGUAAACUAGGGUUACUUACAAUUAGGGUUAACCAAUCAAGGGUUAACUAAAAUUAGGGUUGGAUGAAAUGGUUAAGAUUAGGGUUAGAUUAGAAGUUGGAUCAAUUAAAUUAUGAUUAUAUUAAUUUAACAUUGGGUAAACUAGGGUUACUUACAAUUAGGGUUAACCAAUUAAGGGUUGACUGAAAUUAGGGUUGGAUGAAAUGGUUAAGAUUAGGGUUAGAUUAGAAAUUGGAGUCAUUGAAUUAUGGUUAAGUGGAAUUAGGGUAAAAUUAAAAUUAGGGUGGACAAAUGGUUAAGGUUAGGGUAAGGUUAAAAUUAGGAUUAAUCCAAUUAGGGUUGAGUGUGAUUAGGAUUAAUUAAAAAUUAGGGUUAACAAAUGGUUAAGGUUAGGGUUAAAUCAAAGUUAGGGUUAGUAAAUCUAGGGUUGGGAUUAGGUUAACAUUGGGUAAACUAGGGUUACUUACAGUUUGGUGAAAUGGUUAAGGUUAGGGUUAAAUUAGAAUUUGGAUUAGUUGAAUUAGGGUUACAUGGAAUCAGGGUAUAAUUAAAAUUUAAAUUAGGGUGAAGAUUAGAGCUAAAUUAGAAUUAGGAUUAUUUAGGGUUAACUGAAUUUAGGUUGGGAUCAAAUGGUUAGGUUAAAUAAGCAGUAAUAUGCAUGUGUAUCUAAAUAAAUUUUCUAAUCCUAAAAAAUGUUUUUGUAAUUUUCUUCUGUCAAUUGUCCCUCAUAAUUUCAACCCAUCUUUUUAUUUAACCCAUAUGGUUGUUUUGUCGCUAAUUUAUGUAUCCAUUGUCUUUCUCUACAUUUUCUUUCUAAAUCUGUCCAAUUAAAGUUUUUUUGUAAUCCAGCCAUUCGUAAUGACUCUAAUCCAUGUAUUAGGAAAUGCUGUACCAGGGGUGUGUCCAUUUCUUUUUUAUUUUUAAUAUUAUACCUAUGCUGUGUAAUUCGUGCUGAUAACGAAUUCUUUGUUUCCCCUACAUAUUUAAUCCCACAUUUAUUACAAAUUAUUAAAUAAAUACAAUUUGUGGACCUCGCAGUAAAUGUUUGUUCAAUUUUUAUGAUAGUUUUCUCCACUGUGUUUUUGAUAAAUUUUAGUUUCAACAAUUGUUUAUCUAGUAAUAAUUGUUUUUGUGUUAAUAGUGAUGGUAAUUUGGCUCUGACUAACAAAUCUUUCAAAUUCUUAUUCCUCCUAUAUGCCGAGAUUAUGUUAAAUUUUGGGAUUCCUGUAGUCGUUUCCGAAAUUUCCUGCAAAUUUCGUUUUAUUUUAUUGUGUAGUACCUUGCCUACUGUACAGAAAUUUGUAAUGAGAGGAAUAACAUUUUCUUUCGUUUGUUUUUUGUUGAGAAAUGUUUUCAGAUGAUUUCUUAAAUAUGAUCUCGAAUACCCUCUUUUUCGUAGGGUAUCAAAUAAGAUCUUCACCGCUUCCCUAAAAUCCUCCUCCCUCGUGCAGAUUCGGUGAAAGCGCAGAAUCUGGGAUUUUACAAUUCCUUUAAAAGUAUGAUUUGGAUGGAAGCUAAAUUUAUGCAAUAAUGCGUGAGUAUCUGUUGCCUUGAAAUACACUUUAAUAUCCAAUCGAUGAUUUUCCUGAAAAUUGGGUCCCUUAAAUAUUGUAGUAUCUAAAAAGUCAAUAGAAUUUUGCUUAAUUUCUGCUUUAAGUUUAAUUGAUGGAUCCUGUGAAUUUAGUGUUUCCUUGAAAUUUUCAAAUUCUUGUUUAGUCCCUAUCCAUAAUCCCCAAAUGUCGUCCAAAUACCGUAGAUAACUAGCCGGUUUCUUUUCACAUUUGGCCAGUGCUUUUUCUUCCCAGUUGGCCAUAAAAAUAUUGGCAUAUGCUGGAGCAAAUUUUUUACCCAUUGCUGUUCCCUUAAUUUGCAAAUAAUAUUUUUCAUUGAAUACAAAGUCAUUUCUAGUUAAAUUAAUUUCUAAUAAUUGUAAUAAUUCAUCAUCUGGUCUGUUUGGAUCUGGGUAUUUCUGGAAAAUUUGUUUUACACAUUCAAUUCCUGCCGGAAUAGGAAUAUUUGUAUAUAAACUGUUAACAUCCAUCGAAAAAAACCAAAAGUCCGAGGUUAUUGUAACGUCUUUUACCAUCUCUAUAAAAUGGUAUGUGUCUCUCACAUAGGAUGGAUGUUUGAUCGAAAGUGGAUUUAGAUAAUGAUCCAAAUAUUCUGCGGUGAAAUAUGUAUCACUCCCACAGUCUGAUACUAUGGGUCUCCCUGGGGGAAUUUCAAAUGGAAUUGUCCAUUUCUCCGGACUUUUAUGAAUUUUUGGGAGAAUAUAAAAUCUCCUCUCUCUUGGUUCUGAGGUUCCAAGUAGGUACUGUUUUUGUUUUCCAUUGAUAAAUUUUUUCUUUUUUAGAUUGUUUAUAAUUUCCUUUAUUUUUGGUAGUGUUUCUCUAUAAAUGGGUUUUUCCAAUUUUUUGUAAUAUUCUGUGUCAUUCAAUUGUCUUUCUACUUCCAUUAUAUAUUGUUCUCUACUUAGAAUCACUACUGACGAGCCUUUAUCAGCCGGUUUAAUGACUAUAUGUUUUGUAUGCAUUAAUUCUCGUAAGGCUUUUACUUCUUCUACAGACAUAUUGUAUUUUUCAGUAGUCGGUAAGUAGUGUUUUUUUAUUGUCUGCCAAUCUUUUUGUAUUAAUUGUCCCACUUCUGGUGGUAAUUUAUCCAUAGGUGGUUUCCAAUCAGAAGAGCCUGUAAAUGGUGGUCUCUCCUUACCCAUCGAAUCCUUAAAGACUUAGAGGCUGACCAAGUUUAAAGUCUUCCCCCAGUGGUCAAGCAUAGCGGUCGCCGUUUCUUUUGUCCAGUGGAUUCCAUCCUCCUCCACCUGGAAUUGGUCCUCAGAUCUUCUGGUGGUACCGUUUUCUCCAUCAGUUGGGAUUGUGGUGGUAUGAUGCGAGUGGAGGACUCCGGGAGAACCUCCUCCUCUUCUACCUCUUCAUCUGCCCGCCAUUGGUUCAAUACCUGGGUAUUGUUUCGUCAACAGGUUCCAUUUGAGGUCUCACAAUGAGAUCCUCUUCCACGCCACCUUGGAGCCAGGAUUCUACCCUAGCCUUUCGUGAGGUCCUCGGCGUCUCUAUAAAUUUUUCCAUUGGAGAUCGAUGCACUAAAGCUCCAUCUGUGAUCUCUGGUAGCCUCAGUGUCAUGAUAUCGUCAUCGUCUGAUGUUCCCAUGAGUGUCAUUUCAGGUCUCUCCAAUAUGCUAACCUCCUGAGGAGAUUCAGUUCCGAUCGGUGUCGUGUUUUGAAUCGGCCCAGUGGGGACCAUGGGCGUCGGCUGUGAUUCUGGCACAUUCUGGAUCACUGGUGCAAUAUUCUGGAUCACCGGUGCAAUAUUUUGUAUAGCCUGCUCUACGGGUGGGCUCCGGGGAUGAAUUUUUUCUUUAAUCAAAUUCUCCGUUUGAUCAAUCACCUGUUGUUUCACAUGUGGUAAUUUAUUCUUGGCCCAUCUGAUUGCCACCGUGUAGGCCUUUUUCCAGUCCGGGGUAAUAAAAUCCACAAUUUCAUUGAGCCAUUCCUCCAGGCAAGCCUGGUAGUGUUGAAAUAAUAUCAAACAUGUGGUAUAGCCCCAAUUUUUUGCGUUUCCCAUGAUGAGGUCCAUUGUUUGGCCUUUGGGGAAUGCCGGGUUAAUCAUCCCCAUUAAUACCUCGACCAUUCUUUCGAUCAUCUUGGGUUGUGGUUUCCCCCCUGUUGGGUCCACAUUCUGUAAGUGGUGUACCACUUUCAGAAUAUUAUACAAUUUUUGGACCAGCCUUUUAAACCUGGGGUCAGCCGGUUGUAGCCCUCUUUCAAAUCCCCCAUUCCUUUGGGGAGGUCUCCUUGGGUCUGGUCCCAUCCAACCACGGCUCACUGCGGCCGCAUAUGAAUAAGGACGGGAAUCCGGUUUACGGAAAGACCAUGGGGGAGGCACUGGCGGGUUAGGAAAUUGAGGCUGAACCCUUCCACCCCGAUGGUCAAAUGCCACCGGCCGACCGCCGGAGCGAAAGGGAGGUGCACUGGCCUUCCACCCCUGGAAUCUCCCUCCACCUUGAUUCCCAACUCCCGUCUGAUAUCCAUUCUGGCCUCGGCGACCAUACCGGGCCACUGUCCAUCCCUCAUCCAUCAUUUUGUUGUAGAUUUACGUAAUUUUUAUUUUUAUGAACUCUUUUUUUGUUUUUUUAUAUUUUUUAUUUUUGUAAUUUUUUUGUUGUUAUAGUAUAUAUUUUUGUAAUGUUUUUGUAUAUUUUGUUGUAUUUUUUCAGUUUUUAUUGUUUUUGUAUCCGUUUCUUAGUUUUCUGUCCUUGUCAUAAAGUUACUGAUUUUCCUGUCGCCUUUGCUAUAUAAUUAAUCAAUGUUCUAUUGUCUAGUCUAUAAAUUGUAUGUUCUACAAUGAACUAUCAGGUAUAGUAUUGAUAAUGUAUUGUAAAGAUGCCAAAAGAAUAUUUUUUUCAAAAAAAAUUUUUUUAAUAAAGAAAUAAAAAAUAAUAAAGAAACUAUCAAACAAAAGUUGUUUUCAUUCAAUUGUACUUGUAUUUAUCCAAUUAUAUGUUUGUGUGUGCCAACAACAACGUUUCGGCUUAUGUCAAGCCUUCUUCAGGUUUUAGCACACAAUUUCUAUGAUCCUACUGUUGUAGCAAGAGCUGUUACUCGUUCAAAAACAAACAUGAAAUGACCGGAUUUGGCUGGUUCCCUAUUUAUAGCCUCUGUCUCAGUGACUCCUCCUUCGUCUUUACCAGCGUAUUUAUUCCAAUGCCCUUCAUUCACCAGUCUUAUUCUUAUGUGCAAUUAGUGUAAAUAGUGUAUAUAUAUAUAUAUAUGUUUUUAAUUAAUUAAUUAAUUAAUUUAAUCCUGUAUAUAGUAUGUUAGUGAUUAUUAUUUAGUUUUUUAACUCUUUAAUUCUAGAAUUCCUUAAAUAAACAAAUGAAUAACUGAUCGAUUAUAGAAUUGAAAUUAGGGUUAAUUAGGGUUAAUUAGGGUUAAUUGAAAAUUAGGUUGAGUCAAUUUUAGUGUUAUCAUCAAUUAGGGUGGGAUCAAAUGGUUAAGGUUAGGGUAAGGUUAGAAUUAGGAUUAAUCCAAUUAGGGUUGAGUGUGAUUAGGAUUAAUUAAAAAUUAGGGUUAACAAAUGGUUAAGGUUAGGGUUAAAUCAAAGUUAGGGUUAGUAAAUCUAGGGUUGGGAUUAAUUUAACAUUGGGUAAACUAGGGUUACUUACAAUUAGGGUUAACCAAUCAAGGGUUAACUAAAAUUAGGGUUGGAUGAAAUGGUUAAGAUUAGGGUUAGAUUAGAAGUUGGAUCAAUUAAAUUAUGAUUAUAUUAAUUUAACAUUGGGUAAACUAGGGUUACUUACAAUUAGGGUUAACCAAUUAAGGGUUGACUGAAAUUAGGGUUGGAUGAAAUGGUUAAGAUUAGGGUUAGAUUAGAAAUUGGAGUCAUUGAAUUAUGGUUAAGUGGAAUUAGGGUAAAAUUAAAAUUAGGGUGGACAAAUGGUUAAGGUUAGGGUAAGGUUAAAAUUAGGAUUAAUCCAAUUAGGGUUGAGUGUGAUUAGGAUUAAUUAAAAAUUAGGGUUAACAAAUGGUUAAGGUUAGGGUUAAAUCAAAGUUAGGGUUAGUAAAUCUAGGGUUGGGAUUAGGUUAACAUUGGGUAAACUAGGGUUACUUACAGUUUGGUGAAAUGGUUAAGGUUAGGGUUAAAUUAGAAUUUGGAUUAGUUGAAUUAGGGUUACAUGGAAUCAGGGUAUAAUUAAAAUUUAAAUUAGGGUGAAGAUUAGAGCUAAAUUAGAAUUAGGAUUAUUUAGGGUUAACUGAAUUUAGGUUGGGAUCAAAUGGUUAGGUUAAAUAAGCAGUAAUAUGCAUGUGUAUCUAAAUAAAUUUUCUAAUCCUAAAAAAUGUUUUUGUAAUUUUCUUCUGUCAAUUGUCCCUCAUAAUUUCAACCCAUCUUUUUAUUUAACCCAUAUGGUUGUUUUGUCGCUAAUUUAUGUAUCCAUUGUCUUUCUCUACAUUUUCUUUCUAAAUCUGUCCAAUUAAAGUUUUUUUGUAAUCCAGCCAUUCGUAAUGACUCUAAUCCAUGUAUUAGGAAAUGCUGUACCAGGGGUGUGUCCAUUUCUUUUUUAUUUUUAAUAUUAUACCUAUGCUGUGUAAUUCGUGCUGAUAACGAAUUCUUUGUUUCCCCUACAUAUUUAAUCCCACAUUUAUUACAAAUUAUUAAAUAAAUACAAUUUGUGGACCUCGCAGUAAAUGUUUGUUCAAUUUUUAUGAUAGUUUUCUCCACUGUGUUUUUGAUAAAUUUUAGUUUCAACAAUUGUUUAUCUAGUAAUAAUUGUUUUUGUGUUAAUAGUGAUGGUAAUUUGGCUCUGACUAACAAAUCUUUCAAAUUCUUAUUCCUCCUAUAUGCCGAGAUUAUGUUAAAUUUUGGGAUUCCUGUAGUCGUUUCCGAAAUUUCCUGCAAAUUUCGUUUUAUUUUAUUGUGUAGUACCUUGCCUACUGUACAGAAAUUUGUAAUGAGAGGAAUAACAUUUUCUUUCGUUUGUUUUUUGUUGAGAAAUGUUUUCAGAUGAUUUCUUAAAUAUGAUCUCGAAUACCCUCUUUUUCGUAGGGUAUCAAAUAAGAUCUUCACCGCUUCCCUAAAAUCCUCCUCCCUCGUGCAGAUUCGGUGAAAGCGCAGAAUCUGGGAUUUUACAAUUCCUUUAAAAGUAUGAUUUGGAUGGAAGCUAAAUUUAUGCAAUAAUGCGUGAGUAUCUGUUGCCUUGAAAUACACUUUAAUAUCCAAUCGAUGAUUUUCCUGAAAAUUGGGUCCCUUAAAUAUUGUAGUAUCUAAAAAGUCAAUAGAAUUUUGCUUAAUUUCUGCUUUAAGUUUAAUUGAUGGAUCCUGUGAAUUUAGUGUUUCCUUGAAAUUUUCAAAUUCUUGUUUAGUCCCUAUCCAUAAUCCCCAAAUGUCGUCCAAAUACCGUAGAUAACUAGCCGGUUUCUUUUCACAUUUGGCCAGUGCUUUUUCUUCCCAGUUGGCCAUAAAAAUAUUGGCAUAUGCUGGAGCAAAUUUUUUACCCAUUGCUGUUCCCUUAAUUUGCAAAUAAUAUUUUUCAUUGAAUACAAAGUCAUUUCUAGUUAAAUUAAUUUCUAAUAAUUGUAAUAAUUCAUCAUCUGGUCUGUUUGGAUCUGGGUAUUUCUGGAAAAUUUGUUUUACACAUUCAAUUCCUGCCGGAAUAGGAAUAUUUGUAUAUAAACUGUUAACAUCCAUCGAAAAAAACCAAAAGUCCGAGGUUAUUGUAACGUCUUUUACCAUCUCUAUAAAAUGGUAUGUGUCUCUCACAUAGGAUGGAUGUUUGAUCGAAAGUGGAUUUAGAUAAUGAUCCAAAUAUUCUGCGGUGAAAUAUGUAUCACUCCCACAGUCUGAUACUAUGGGUCUCCCUGGGGGAAUUUCAAAUGGAAUUGUCCAUUUCUCCGGACUUUUAUGAAUUUUUGGGAGAAUAUAAAAUCUCCUCUCUCUUGGUUCUGAGGUUCCAAGUAGGUACUGUUUUUGUUUUCCAUUGAUAAAUUUUUUCUUUUUUAGAUUGUUUAUAAUUUCCUUUAUUUUUGGUAGUGUUUCUCUAUAAAUGGGUUUUUCCAAUUUUUUGUAAUAUUCUGUGUCAUUCAAUUGUCUUUCUACUUCCAUUAUAUAUUGUUCUCUACUUAGAAUCACUACUGACGAGCCUUUAUCAGCCGGUUUAAUGACUAUAUGUUUUGUAUGCAUUAAUUCUCGUAAGGCUUUUACUUCUUCUACAGACAUAUUGUAUUUUUCAGUAGUCGGUAAGUAGUGUUUUUUUAUUGUCUGCCAAUCUUUUUGUAUUAAUUGUCCCACUUCUGGUGGUAAUUUAUCCAUAGGUGGUUUCCAAUCAGAAGAGCCUGUAAAUGGUGGUCUCUCCUUACCCAUCGAAUCCUUAAAGACUUAGAGGCUGACCAAGUUUAAAGUCUUCCCCCAGUGGUCAAGCAUAGCGGUCGCCGUUUCUUUUGUCCAGUGGAUUCCAUCCUCCUCCACCUGGAAUUGGUCCUCAGAUCUUCUGGUGGUACCGUUUUCUCCAUCAGUUGGGAUUGUGGUGGUAUGAUGCGAGUGGAGGACUCCGGGAGAACCUCCUCCUCUUCUACCUCUUCAUCUGCCCGCCAUUGGUUCAAUACCUGGGUAUUGUUUCGUCAACAGGUUCCAUUUGAGGUCUCACAAUGAGAUCCUCUUCCACGCCACCUUGGAGCCAGGAUUCUACCCUAGCCUUUCGUGAGGUCCUCGGCGUCUCUAUAAAUUUUUCCAUUGGAGAUCGAUGCACUAAAGCUCCAUCUGUGAUCUCUGGUAGCCUCAGUGUCAUGAUAUCGUCAUCGUCUGAUGUUCCCAUGAGUGUCAUUUCAGGUCUCUCCAAUAUGCUAACCUCCUGAGGAGAUUCAGUUCCGAUCGGUGUCGUGUUUUGAAUCGGCCCAGUGGGGACCAUGGGCGUCGGCUGUGAUUCUGGCACAUUCUGGAUCACUGGUGCAAUAUUCUGGAUCACCGGUGCAAUAUUUUGUAUAGCCUGCUCUACGGGUGGGCUCCGGGGAUGAAUUUUUUCUUUAAUCAAAUUCUCCGUUUGAUCAAUCACCUGUUGUUUCACAUGUGGUAAUUUAUUCUUGGCCCAUCUGAUUGCCACCGUGUAGGCCUUUUUCCAGUCCGGGGUAAUAAAAUCCACAAUUUCAUUGAGCCAUUCCUCCAGGCAAGCCUGGUAGUGUUGAAAUAAUAUCAAACAUGUGGUAUAGCCCCAAUUUUUUGCGUUUCCCAUGAUGAGGUCCAUUGUUUGGCCUUUGGGGAAUGCCGGGUUAAUCAUCCCCAUUAAUACCUCGACCAUUCUUUCGAUCAUCUUGGGUUGUGGUUUCCCCCCUGUUGGGUCCACAUUCUGUAAGUGGUGUACCACUUUCAGAAUAUUAUACAAUUUUUGGACCAGCCUUUUAAACCUGGGGUCAGCCGGUUGUAGCCCUCUUUCAAAUCCCCCAUUCCUUUGGGGAGGUCUCCUUGGGUCUGGUCCCAUCCAACCACGGCUCACUGCGGCCGCAUAUGAAUAAGGACGGGAAUCCGGUUUACGGAAAGACCAUGGGGGAGGCACUGGCGGGUUAGGAAAUUGAGGCUGAACCCUUCCACCCCGAUGGUCAAAUGCCACCGGCCGACCGCCGGAGCGAAAGGGAGGUGCACUGGCCUUCCACCCCUGGAAUCUCCCUCCACCUUGAUUCCCAACUCCCGUCUGAUAUCCAUUCUGGCCUCGGCGACCAUACCGGGCCACUGUCCAUCCCUCAUCCAUCAUUUUGUUGUAGAUUUACGUAAUUUUUAUUUUUAUGAACUCUUUUUUUGUUUUUUUAUAUUUUUUAUUUUUGUAAUUUUUUUGUUGUUAUAGUAUAUAUUUUUGUAAUGUUUUUGUAUAUUUUGUUGUAUUUUUUCAGUUUUUAUUGUUUUUGUAUCCGUUUCUUAGUUUUCUGUCCUUGUCAUAAAGUUACUGAUUUUCCUGUCGCCUUUGCUAUAUAAUUAAUCAAUGUUCUAUUGUCUAGUCUAUAAAUUGUAUGUUCUACAAUGAACUAUCAGGUAUAGUAUUGAUAAUGUAUUGUAAAGAUGCCAAAAGAAUAUUUUUUUCAAAAAAAAUUUUUUUAAUAAAGAAAUAAAAAAUAAUAAAGAAACUAUCAAACAAAAGUUGUUUUCAUUCAAUUGUACUUGUAUUUAUCCAAUUAUAUGUUUGUGUGUGCCAACAACAACGUUUCGGCUUAUGUCAAGCCUUCUUCAGGUUUUAGCACACAAUUUCUAUGAUCCUACUGUUGUAGCAAGAGCUGUUACUCGUUCAAAAACAAACAUGAAAUGACCGGAUUUGGCUGGUUCCCUAUUUAUAGCCUCUGUCUCAGUGACUCCUCCUUCGUCUUUACCAGCGUAUUUAUUCCAAUGCCCUUCAUUCACCAGUCUUAUUCUUAUGUGC